GAUAGAAAAGGAGAAGUCCUAUACGAUUCAUGAGACUGAGUUCAGAAAGUCUUUGGCCAAAGUAAGGGUGCAUAGUGAAAAACAGUUUCCACGGAAUUUACAAGUGAACUCGAGUCGAGCCAAUCUUGCAUAUAACUAACGAUGGGGUUUGAUGAGUUCUCUAUGACCUCUGUCAAGUCAGAACUUAUGAUAGAAGGACUGAAUCACACGAUAACUACACCUAGAAGUUUAUCU
rnacentral:lncRNA from 1 species